GGUAGCACGGGGGWAGCUUGCUCYCUGGGUGACGAGCGGCGGACGGGUGAGUAAUGUCUGGGAAACUGCCUGAUGGAGGGGGAUAACUACUGGAAACGGUAGCUAAUACCGCAUAACGUCUACGGACCAAAGUGGGGGACCUUCGGGCCUCACGCCAUCAGAUGUGCCCAGAUGGGAUUAGCUAGUAGGUGGGGUAAUGGCUCACCUAGGCGACGAUCCCUAGCUGGUCUGAGAGGAUGACCAGCCACACUGGAACUGAGACACGGUCCAGACUCCUACGGGAGGCAGCAGUGGGGAAUAUUGCACAAUGGGCGCAAGCCUGAUGCAGCCAUGCCGCGUGUGUGAAGAAGGCCUUCGGGUUGUAAAGCACUUUCAGCGAGGAGGAAGGGCGAUGUCUUAAUACGGCAUCGCAUUGACGUUACUCGCAGAAGAAGCACCGGCUAACUCCGUGCCAGCAGCCGCGGUAAUACGGAGGGUGCAAGCGUUAAUCGGAAUUACUGGGCGUAAAGCGCACGCAGGCGGUUUGUUAAGUCAGAUGUGAAAUCCCCGCGCUUAACGUGGGAACUGCAUUUGAAACUGGCAAGCUAGAGUCUCGUAGAGGGGGGUAGAAUUCCAGGUGUAGCGGUGAAAUGCGUAGAGAUCUGGAGGAAUACCGGUGGCGAAGGCGGCCCCCUGSACGAAGACUGACGCUC
rnacentral:rRNA from 1 species